rnacentral:miRNA from 1 species
GUGAGGAGAAGGAAGAGGCCGAAGGCUGGGCUUCUGGUGCCGUUGGGGAUCAGCCAUAUCCCCCAGUGCCUCCCAGGUCCACUAGUGCCAACACCUCACUGUCUCCUCAG